rnacentral:rRNA from 1 species
UUGCAUAUCCCAAAAGCGGAGGAAAAGAAACCAACCGGGAUUGCCUUAGUAACGGCGAGUGAAGCGGCAAAAGCUCAAAUUUGAAAUCUGGCGUCUUCGACGUCCGAGUUGUAAUUUGAAGAAGGCGACUUUGUAGCUGGUCCUUGUCUAUGUUCCUUGGAACAGGACGUCAUAGAGGGUGAGAAUCCCGUGUGGCGAGGAUCCCAGUUAUUUGUAAAGUGCUUUCGACGAGUCGAGUUGUUUGGGAAUGCAGCUCUAAGUGGGUGGUAAAUUCCAUCUAAAGCUAAAUAUUGGCGAGAGACCGAUAGCGAACAAGUACAGUGAUGGAAAGAUGAAAAGAACUUUGAAAAGAGAGUGAAAAAGUACGUGAAAUUGUUGAAAGGGAAGGGCAUUUGAUCAGACAUGGCGUUUGCUUCGGCUUUCGCUGGGCCAGCAUCAGUUUUAGCGGUUGGAUAAAUCCUCGGGAAUGUGGCUCUGCUUCGGUAGAGUGUUAUAGCCCGUGGGAAUACAGCCAGCUGGGACUGAGGAUUGCGACUUUUGUCAAGGAUGCUGGCGUAAUGGUUAAAUGCCGCCCGUCUUGAACCCACGGACC